ACAAUUAAAGCAAAUGGAGCUUAUCUUAAAAUCAGUGAGUUGAGUUUAGUUGAAUUAAUUGAAUGAGCAUAUUUAAACCUCUCAUCAUUUAUAGAAAACUAAGGAACCAGGAUGAAUAUUGAACUGUGGUGUAAUUUCUUUUGCUUUUCCCUGUUUGUUAGUUGGUGCAUGAGUUUUUGUCUGUAAAUUCUCACCUUGAUUUAUUCCAUUACCUUUAAUUCAGUUAUUAUUAUUAGUUUUAGCCCCUGGUCGAUUUACAGAGUCUGAUCGUGGCUUUCUAAGAUUCACUGGGUGCUUUUGAAGGAUUUGUCUGCAUAAUGUGCCAUCACCUGAGGUUGAUGCUGUCAUUUUUGUUAUUGUCCUGCAGAGGAAGAAGGGGAACGAGCAGGAAUGGCACAGAAGGCUGAACAUGCUGACUGAACUGAUAAAUCCCACUGAGACCUGGACUGUUGUUUUACGCUCUUAAAGAUGCUGCUGUCUCUUUUCUGUGUGUGUUUCAAUGUAGACAUUUUUAGUUUCCACUGAAGGGCCAAGAAAUCCCAGCUAGUAAAUGAAGAAAGGGGGCGAGUGGAUCAUUUCACCCUCAGAUGAGACAGGAGGCAGAGGGCGGCCCUCGACAGCCAUUUGAAUGGGAUCUGAGAGCUGUUUGGAUUCAACUCAACUCCGAGAGCCAAACAUCUGUUCAUCACUGGAGUUAAAGCAGAUACUUGUCAGGAUGUUUGAUGUGACGGAACACGAGAGACAAUAAAUGUUUGGGACAUUUACUUUCAGAGGGAGAAGUGUCAUCUGCAUCCAGCCAGGAACAGAGCCAGCAAUGAUGAAGGAGUAUUCAGGUUUACUCCUAACUACUUAUAGUGGGGUGGGGCGUGACUCCAGGAAGAACCAAUUAAAUUUUGGAGCGGAUCCGGACAAAUGGACGGCUCCAGGAAGUUUUUCUCAUUUCCUUGAACGUGAUAAGGCGUCAGGCUAAGUGGAGGUAUGGUCUCUCUGAGCGUCUUCUAUUCUCAUUGUAAUGAUUAUAUGAACAUGUAUUAAAUUAUUAUGAUAUAUAUAGCUCAUGUAUAUGCAUGCUGUUUUCACAUUAUGCUUCAUUAUAUUCAUUAUUAAUGCAUUUGCAACCAUGCACGGUUAUUCAUUCCAAUUAUAAUGUAUUUUUACUCUCACCACUCAUGUAUGUAGUGGUUAGA